UACGUAGGGUGCGAGCGUUGUCCGGAAUUAUUGGGCGUAAAGAGCUCGUAGGCGGUCUGUCGCGUCUGCUGUGAAAUCCCGAGGCUCAACCUCGGGCUUGCAGUGGGUACGGGCAGACUAGAGGCAGGUAGGGGAGAACGGAAUUCCCGGUGUAGCGGUGAAAUGCGCAGAUAUCGGGAGGAACACCGGUGGCGAAGGCGGUUCUCUGGGCCUGUACUGACGCUGAGGAGCGAAAGCGUGGGGAGCGAACAGG
rnacentral:rRNA from 1 species